rnacentral:lncRNA from 1 species
ACGGUGAUUGAGGUUGGUGGUGCGGAGGAGGCGGGGAGUGUGUGACGAAGGGUGCACUAUUUCGUACUUAUUUCCCAGACAAAAUGGUGGGUGCUGGUCUUGCAAGCCGCUUUUACCAAAUCUAGUGGGCUGCUUGUGCAUGCUUGGAGGCCAUUUCUGACCCAGGCGGGGACCGCGCCGCCGCGCGUUCGAGCAGCUAUUGUUGCGCCGGGCACCAGCGAGACCGGAUCUCGCUGUCGCCGGGGAGGUCGCAGGUGCCGGGGCAGAGCUUUGGUGUUGCGUUGAACGGCCUGUCGUUCCUUGUCGCUUAGUCUUAUGAAGAGCUACAGGUAUGAACCCCUCUGCACACUCCCAUUCUCCUCUUAAGAGAUUUUGCUUAGAUUUGGAUUUUUCAAAGCAUUUUUGUUCAUUAUAGCGCUGAUUUUGCGCUUGCAAUUUCAAAUUAGGAUAUAACCUCCUACAUACUGUCUUGUUCAUAUAUCUAGACUAUAUAAUUAUUUGAUCAUGGAUUGAUCUCGCUUCCAUUUUGUAGGGACCUGAGCUUGCAUUUUUUUUCAGGUUCACAUUGUAAGUGCCAACUGAAGAUUAUUUCUUGUACUUUAUUCGCAGCAGUGUUGUACUCCAUAGUAUUUUUAAUUUGCUGUUAGCAAGAUAUACAACUCACAGAGAAUCAAUGCUGAAGCUAGACACUGGAUUAUUGCGAGUUCUGAGCGUUUAACUCAGCCUCCAGCUACCUGAAUGUUUGGUGGCAUUUGGUUUGGAGCAGGCUGCAAGGACCUAAAGCCAAGCUUCUGAAUUUCCACGGUGUCCCUUUUCACCUGGACCAUCUACAGUGUGCGUAACAACAGGGUUCUUCAGAAUAACUACACUUUCAGUUCAGCCAAUCUUUUAUUGAACUAAGGUAGAUGCAAGGAAUUGAUUCCUGCAAGUGUUCAGCGUCUUUCUUUGUAAGGUCAUUUGCUUUGAUCAUAAUGUAUUUUUUCUGGUCAUGUCGUUCAGUGCUUAUAUUCAGUUUCCUCAUAAUUGGGGGUUGUGAAUUGGAUUAUUCAUUAUGCCUUUUGUCUUAAAAAAGGCCUUAUGAGCCAGAAGUUGGUUCAUAUGUGUCAAUUAUUUUCUUAAACUGCAAAGGCCUUACCUUCUGUGCGUAUAUAUGUCACCUAAUUUUGUUAUAGGUUUGUUGAGCAGAAGCUCACUUGUGCAAGCAAGAUGCCAUUGAUUUGCUUAUAUCCAGUUCUGCUAUUAAGUGACUGAAGCAAGGUGUGUUCCUCUCUAUUGUGCUGGGCUCAUAUAGAUUUGCCGAAGUAUAGUUUCUGCAAAUUGUGAAGUGAAUCCUAAUGUGCGAAACUCUGGUCUUGUAGUAUGUUCCUGUCUAUUGUAGAAAGUAAUCAAUCUGUUUUAAACUAAGAACAUUGGUAACAUUCACAUCCUUAAUAUAAUAACUAUCCUUAUCCUGGUCGAUGCCAAGUACUCUUUCGUAUCUUGGUCGAUACAAAUAGACUCUCAUACUAUUUUUUCCAUAAACUACAGAUCCACUAAUUAUCUAGAUAACAUCCUUUUUCUCCUGGGCUUUGCUUUCCGUACUUCAUCUUCAUCUUCAAGCAUUGAAUUUUGGCUUUUGCUUUAACAUGUUUCUUGUUACCGCGGACACUUUUUUCCUUUUGUUCAGGCAUAUUCGUCUGACUGCAUACAUCCUCCGACCCAUCUGAUAUUACAACAGAUCUUAGUCUCCUUUUAUUGCCACUGCGGAGCUCACGUGAUGAUGAUGAUAUUUUGUCUUGAUGCUUAUCUUUGUUUAAUGUAGUCCCAUUGCUCUCAUGUGGCUCCUCUUUCACUGGCACCAGUUCGCAUGAAAGUUUGCCAGGGGAAACUUUAUCAUUUGUGACUGCAAACAUAUACAUUUUGAAAAUUAGACACAUCUCUAAAAAUCUAAAUUAUGUACAUAGUUUAAAAUAUCAAUCACCUUUCUAUCUGGCAUGUUCUGCUUCUUCAUUAACACAGUGUACACCUCAUCAUCCAUCAAUUCUUCUGAAACAUAUGUAAGAUGAAUUAGUUAAGGAAUUCUGAAGAUGGUAAAAAGGUAAUGCAGCUUUACCUCCUCGGCUUUAUUGUCCAAGUAGAGCAACUCAAGCCUAUCAUCAAGCACAAAUGUUCUUUUUACUGCAUAGUUUUGUGUGCCAAAUGUGAGAUUAUUAUCAAUGAGCUUGAAUCGAAAUAUAAGUCUUUUUCCAUAUAAUUGUUGAAUAAUCUUUGGCACUGCUUCCGAUUUCCCAUCUAGUGUGUCCAGCAACUUAGAUGUAGAUGUAUUAAGCAAUCUUGCAGCCUCCUCGUCAAAUAAAGUGCAACUUGUAGUAGGUGUAUGUUCACUAAUUUGGAGUCGAACACGAUACCUAACGUACCAUUCAUGUUAGUGUAGAGUAAAUAUAAUAUAACAGUUCUUGUUUAUAUCUUAGCAAUAUAAUAUGCUUACCGGGUUGUGACCUUUUCUGGAUAUACACCACAACUCUUGCAAUAAUAAUUGUCGGUUUGCUUGUUAACCAAUUUGUGACACUUAUCACAUGACAUGUACCACCAUUGAAUAUUUUCUUGCAAAUGAUCUAUUGUAGAUAUUGUUGUGAACACAAAAUCCUAAAAAAAAUCAACAUUAGCAUUUGGGUGGGGGUGGGGGAUUAAGAGACAUAUAUAAGUACAAUUAGGUUUCAUUGCAACUAAUAUGAAUGAAUUGUCCAUGCAGGCCUUAACUCGUAUCAUGAAGAUUGAUGAUAUCAUUUAUUGGAAUUCCGAUGCAUUACCUGGUCUGACUGAUUUUCAUGCCUCAUUGUAGUAAGUUCUUGUAAUGUUCUCCUCCUAUAAAACAUUUGCUCUUCUAGUGUUCCUUGAUUAAUUCUACCUAUACUAAUCAUUUUUGGUAAGGUUUCUUCUGUUGAGUCCCUGCACAUGUAUCAAGUAAAUAAGAAUAUACAAUCUUGAAUCAACGUGAGUCAGUAUUUAUGAGUGAAACAUAUAAUAUUGGUGGUGUUUCAUACUUAUCAAGAAGUUCUUGUGUUUCUGGUAUAUCUAGAUCUAUAUUUAUUCUUGUGGCACUGGUUGACUUUCGGCACAGACCUAUUAAAUCAAUCAGUUAGAAUUUGUAAAUGAUCAUAAUAGCAUGUAAGAUUUAUGGACUUACCAUUGAAUCUCUGCACCAUCGUUGAUGUAAUAGUAAUGGCAGUUUUGCUGCCAAUUACAUCCUGGUCAAAAAAUAAGCAAACUUUCCCCACAACGUGAUUCAGAUUUUAUCACCCCUAAAGAAUAUAAUCUGAGAAGUUAGUGCUAACCACAUGGGGAGAUUUAGUUAAAUUUGAGACAUGCAUAUGCAUAUGCACUUACUCUGGCAUUAGGAUUUCAAUCUCGUGGAUAUAUGAAGGUUUUGGGUUCUUUUCGUAUUCUCGUCUCCACGGGCUUCAUUUGUGUUAGUAGUCCAAUGACAUAUGUAUAUUUGGAGAUUAGUGAUAUAACAAUUAGACAUAUCAAUUAUUUGGAGGUCGUAAUUACAACUAUAAACAUACCUGAGCAUUGUGUAUCUUUUUCCGCCCUUUCUUCUAGUGUGUCCAUGUCAGCAAACUUGAAGCAAUAAUCUGGGAAAACUUCUGAAGAUCCUUUUAUUUCUUUUACCUUUGUAUUGUAUGAAAAAUAUAUUUUAAUUUCAUUGCACAUUGGCCUAUAUUUUGUGGAUUCCAUGACCUUAAAAUUGUUGAAUGCAUAAAUAGAUUUCUCAUUGAUCUUUGAUUCUUCCACAUAGUAGCAUGGAUUCUUCCACCUUCUCAAAUAAACAAAUAUGGUUAGUAACAGUUGCUUCAUCUGACAGAAAAAUUCUAAUUAAAUAUAUUAGAAAACAAACCUGGUCAUCCAUCAUAAUCAUAUCUAGGCUAAUAAGCUCAUCGGUCGUAGGAUUCACUGAAUCCCACAUUCUCAUUACUUUCACUUGAAUGUUCCAGUUCCGUCACCUUGUAUUUAAGUCGCUCAACUUCUUGCAUGCCAUAGUCUUAUGUCUUAAAAAAUUAACAGGGAACAAUUUAUCAAUUGAUAUAGUUUCUAUGAAGAUUCUAUCUAGAAAAAAUAAGCUUGCUAAAUAAAAAAAUACCAAAUCUGAUGAUUCAGGCUAGAAGUGAUUUGGCGUCACUUCUUCGACGUCUUGAUGGGAACAGUUGGGCGUGGCUUCGUCGGGCGUUGAGCGUGCUUCAGGUGACUUUGUCGGACGUCGAUUUAAGCGGCUAGAGGUGGCUUUUCGUCUAGAUGUAGUGUGGCGUGUGGCCUGUGUUGCCUGACUUCUAGUAGUUGUUUGGUAGGUACUUGUGCGUCUGGCUGUAUUUGUUUAUAGUUAUAUAUGGGUUGAGGUGAUUGUGACCGUGUGGAAAUCAGAUAGCCGACAAUGGGCUGAAAUAAGAUUUGUUUUAUUUGCAUGCACUCGUAUCUGUGCUGGAACUUUCCUCAUGUGAGGUCUGGUGCUUGUCCGUAUUUGUUAAGGUUCCU